ensembl:snoRNA small nucleolar RNA, H/ACA box 2A
CAGGCCCUGAAUCAAGGCCAAGAACUUGCUGUAGCCAUUGGUUUCAAACAGGAGCUGAGAGUAUAUAUUUUCCUGUGGUCUGUUGGGCCUUUCAGAGUUUCAGGUGAGAGCUUGUCAGUUCAGUUGGAAGAAACAAAU